UGAGCUGGGCUGGGCGGGGCUCUGCUGUGCUGUGCUGUGCUGUGCUGAGC
rnacentral:miRNA from 1 species